AUGAACACAGUGGACGUACACUCACUAUACACUUCACUUGAUCUAUCUGCCCUGACGGUACGGUUUUCUUGGGCUGAAAUCGUACAAGCCAUCAGCUGCUCACCCAAUAACAGAUGUCCGGGCCCUGACGGUUUCACCAAUGAGUUCUACAAGGCUUUCAAGUUGCUGCUAAAGGAUGACCUGCUCCAUUUUUUUGAUGAUUUCCACAGAAAUGUGGUUGAUCUUACUGGUAUUAACUCCGCUUUCAUCACCCUGCUACCUAAAAAGGAUACGCCCCUGGAGAUGCGGGACUUCAGGCCGAUUUCCCUCGUACAUAGCAUACCCAAACUGGUUUCUAAGGUUCUGCCUUGUAGGCUGUGA
rnacentral:rRNA from 1 species